GAUGAACGCUGGCGGCGUGCCUAAUACAUGCAAGUCGAGCGAACAGACGAGGAGCUUGCUCCUCUGACGUUAGCGGCGGACGGGUGAGUAACACGUGGAUAACCUACCUAUAAGACUGGGAUAACUUCGGGAAACCGGAUCUAAUACCGGAUAAUAUAUUGAACCGCAUGGUUCAAUAGUGAAAGACGGUUUUGCUGUCACUUAUAGAUGGAUCCGCGCCGCAUUAGCUAGUUGGUACGGUAACGGCUUACCAAGGCGACGAUGCGUAGCCGACCUGAGAGGGUGAUCGGCCACACUGGAACUGAGACACGGUCCAGACUCCUACGGGAGGCAGCAGUAGGGAAUCUUCCGCAAUGGGCGAAAGCCUGACGGAGCCACGCCGCGUGAGUGAUGAAGGUCUUCGGAUCGUAAAGCUCUGUUAGUAGGGAAGAACAAAUGUGUAAGUAACUAUGCACGUCUUGACGGUACCUAAUCAGAAAGCCACGGCUAACUACGUG
rnacentral:rRNA from 1 species